GAGAAGUUGAACCAAUACUUCAUGAAUACCGAGAGAUGAAUGUUCUUGCUCCUAGAAGGGCAAGAUUGAGGAAGACAAAAUAUCCUUGCAAUAAUCACGAAGAGAGAAAGAUUUUCUCAAGCCAAGAAAGAGAUGGUCAAGGCUGGUUGGAGGCACGCUGGUAAGAAUGGAGUUCUGUGGAUCUUGGAGCAAUGAAUAUUUGUCAGAAGCAGAUCUUUGGGGCUGGCAAGAGCUCAGAUUGGGGAUGGUUACAGUUGGAGGAACCAUGAGCAGCCUAGAGAAGACCCUUAUGCACCAAGUGUGGUAGGGGAGCCCCAGAGUCAGGAGCGCCUGUCCUGUGGGCACAGUGAGCUUGAGACAGCUGUCUUGGAAGAAACAUUUGAACAGGGCUUCACACUUCCAAGGUCUUGACCUUCCUCAGACCCCCUGAACACAGGUCUCAGAGGAGGGAAGGGGAAAGUCAAGAUACACUGAGGUCAAAUGGUCCUGCAAGGGUAUUAGUCUGUUCUUAUACUGCUGUAAAGAAUUUAUCGAGACUGGGUAAUUUAUAAAGGAAAGAGGUUUAAUUGAUUCGCAGUUCAGCAUGGCUGGGGAGGCCUCAGGAAACUUACAAUCAUGGCAGAAGGGGAAGCAAACACGUUCUUCUUCACACGGUGGCAGGAAUGACAAGUGCCACGCAAAAAAGGGAAACCGUCUUAUAAAACCAUCAGAUCUCACGAGAACACGCUCACUAUCACAAGAAAAGCAUGAGGUGACUGCCCCCACAAUCUCAUCGCCUCUCACAAGGUUCCUCCCCCAACACAUGGGGAUUACAAUUUGGAUUACAAUUCAAGAUGAGAUUUGGGUGAGGACACAGAACCAGACCAUAUCAGCCAGCUAUGCAGGAAGGGGUCCCAAAAUACCAUUUAAAUUAGCUCAUAGAAAAUAUAUUGCUCUUUCUUCUGGUACAACGUGAGUUUUUGAAUGGAGAUUUGCACGGAGUAUACAUUAUUUUAAAGCAAUGCAUUUUAGAGCAAACACAGAUAUACUUCGUAUUCAUAUGAAUUUAUAAAAGCAAAUUCAUACUUCAAAGAAACAUCAUGCUCCCUUGGGCUGUGACUUCUGUCUCACUCAACUAUCGGUUCGAUGAAGCAGAAACUGUGUUUUGCCUGUAAUGUCUUCCCAGGGCCUGACACAUCACCUCACUCAGAGGAGGUACCAAAUAUUUGUUGAAAUAAUAAAU
rnacentral:lncRNA from 10 species